UGCAUAACGAAAAAUAAAAGGAUAGUUCUAUUUCAUAUGAAAAACAGUAUAUGACUCUAAUCCACCACACAACUCUUAAAUGUUAAACUCAUACAUAACUUUUGAAUACUAAACUUUAAACUGUUAUCACUAAAUCCAAACUUCAAUUCCCACCUUCCAAAUACUAAACCAUAAAUGCUAAUCACUAAACUCUAAAUCCUAAUCACUAAAUCCUAAACUCAAGUAUAGACCCUAAACCCAAGUAAAGAUCCUAAACCCAGAUAGAACUGAACAAAAGAUUUAGUAUAGUACGUAAUGGUGAACAAAAUAGAACACUCUUUAUUAAUCGUCAAAUGGAAUGAUACAUGAAAGGGUCACUAAACCCAAAUCUCAACCCCCACCUUCCAAAUACUAAACUCUAAAUCUUAAUCACUAAACCCUAAAUGAAUAAAGUAACAUUUAGGCUUCAUAUUAUCCGGUUAUACCCUCCACAUAUGCAAGUUG
rnacentral:lncRNA from 1 species